UACAGAGGUCUCAAGCGUUGUUCGGAUUCAUUGGGCGUAAAGGGUGCGUAGGUGGCGCCGUAAGUGGGGUGUGAAAUUUCGGAGCUUAACUCCGAAACUGCAUUCCAUACUGCGGUGCUUGAGGACUGGAGAGGAGACUGGAAUUUACGGUGUAGCAGUGAAAUGCGUAGAGAUCGUAAGGAAGACCAGUGGCGAAGGCGGGUCUCUGGACAGUUCCUGACACUGAGGCACGAAGGCCAGGGGAGCAAACGGG
rnacentral:rRNA from 1 species